CCGAGUGAGGGCCCUCGGGCCCGACCUCCAACCCUUUGAUUAUCACCCUUUGUUGCCUCGGGGGUUAGCCGUUAAGGCGCCCCCGGUGGACCAUUCAUUCAAACUCUGCAUCUUUGCGUCGGGUUAACAGUGAAAUAAAUA
rnacentral:misc_RNA from 1 species